AUUGAACGCUGGCGGCAUGCUUUACACAUGCAAGUCGAACGGUAACAGGCCUUCGGGCGCUGACGAGUGGCGAACGGGUGAGUAAUGCAUCGGAACGUGCCCAGUCGUGGGGGAUAACGCAGCGAAAGCUGUGCUAAUACCGCAUACGAUCUGCGGAUGAAAGCGGGGGACCUUCGGGCCUCGCGCGAUUGGAGCGGCCGAUGUCAGAUUAGGUAGUUGGUGGGGGAAAGGCUCACCAAGCCAACGAUCUGUACCUGGUCUGAGGGGACGACCAGCCACACUGGGACUGGGACACGGCCCAGACUCCUACGGGAGGCAGCAGUGGGGAAUUUUGGACAAUGGGCGCAAGCCUGAUCCAGCAAUGCCGCGUGCAGGAAGAAGGCCUUCGGGUUGUAAACUGCUUUUGUACGGAGCGAAAAGGCUCCCUCUAAUACAGGGGGCUCAUGACGGUACCGUAAGAAUAAGCACCGGCUAACUACGUGCCAGCCGCCGCGGUAAAAC
rnacentral:rRNA from 1 species